CGGAUUACUGGGGCGUAAGCGCACGCAGGCGGUCUGUCAAGUCGGAUGUGAAAUCCCCGGGCUCAACCUGGGAACUGCAUUCGAAACUGGCAGGCUAGAGUCUUGUAGAGGGGGGUAGAAUUCCAGGUGUAGCGGUGAAAUGCGUAGAGAUCUGGAGGAAUACCGGUGGCGAAGGCGGCCCCCUGGACAAAGACUGACGCUCAGGUGCGAAAGCGUGGGGAGCAAACAGGAUUAGAUACCCUGGUAGUCCACGCCGUAAACGAUGUCGAUUUGGAGGUUGUGCCCUUGAGGCGUGGCUUCCGGAGCUAACGCGUUAAAUCGACCGCCUGGGGAGUACGGCCGCAAGGUUAAAACUCAAAUGAAUUGACGGGGGCCCGCACAAGCGGUGGAGCAUGUGGUUUAAUUCGAUGCAACGCGAAGAACCUUACCUGGUCUUGACAUGCGGGGAACUUACCAGAGAUGCUUUGGUGCCUUCGGGAACUGUGAGACAGGUGCUGCAUGGCUGUCGUCAGCUCGUGUUGUGAAAUGUUGCGUUAAGUCCCGCAACGAGCGCAACCCUUAUCCUUUGUUGCC
rnacentral:rRNA from 1 species